rnacentral:rRNA from 1 species
UGGGGAAUUUUGCGCAAAUGGGCGAAAGCCUGACGCAGCGACGCCGCGUGGAGGAUGAAGGUCUUCGGAUUGUAAACUCCUUUUUGUAGGGGACAAUAAUGAUGGUACCCUAUGAAUAAGCCACGGCUAACUCUGUGCCAGCAGCCGCGGUAAGACAGAGGUGGCAAGCGUUGUUCGGAAUUACUGGGCUUAAAGGGCGCGUAGGCGGUGGCGUAAGUCCGGGGUGGAAGGCUGAGGCUUAACCUCAGGAUUGCCCUGGAAACUGCAUCACUUGAGUCAGCAAGGGGAUGGCGGAAUUCCUGGUGUAGCGGUGAAAUUGCGUAGAUAUCAGGAGGAAGGCCGGUGGCGAAGGCGGCCAUCUGGUGCUGACUGACGCUGAGGCGCGAAAGCGUGGGGAGCAAACAGGAUUAGAUACCCUGGUAGUCCACGCCCUAAACGGUGGAUACUAGGUGUAGGGCUCGUAAGGGUUCUGUGCCGAAGGGAACCGAUUAAGUAUCCGCCUGGGG